AGAUUUGAGACUUUUGCAAAAAACAACAGAUAUUUCUCAGACUUUCUGGUUAUGUACUUACUAUAUCAUAUAAGUAAACAAUGUUUUAUGUUCUGUUUUGUAAAUACAUCAGUUGAAUGAGAGCAUACUCGCAGAAUGCUAUAUUUAAACUCAUAGUAGCACAGUUAGAGCUUUAUUUUGUUACAACCGCAAUUUUAGUACAUUUAUAACUAUCUUUUGUUUAAUUGCUUAUAAAUAUUACAAUAAUGUGAAUAUAGGAUGAAGGUUUUUAAGAAAAAUUAAUUGAACAUUGUUAUCUUUUUUUCCUAGACAUCGAUCACCGGGAUCAUUAGCCAUGGACUACACGUUACGGAUAAAUCCUUUACAAGGAUAAUUGAAAAAUUUAAAUUAACAUGCACAUUUUAAGUUGAGUGAUAAAAAGAUCAAAAACAAACCCAAAAAUGUAGAGAAAAUCAAACAAGAAAAGUAGCUAAAUUUCUGCGAAUUUCACCACGUAUCUGGAAUGUACUUCUUUCUAUCAUAUAUUAAGGACAUUCACAUAUAAUGUGUGUACUGUCAACUCAACAUCACAGACUAUGCACAUUAGAGGCAUUUUGCCUUUAAGCAGAUAUGCAUGUGUCACUGCAGUAUGCCCAAUACGAAGACAUAAGGAUAUUGAGCUUGCUGAGCAGUUUCACCUGCCAUUGUGCUGCCAAGGACAUUAGUGUGGCUUGGGAUCCAUAGUAACACGAUCUUGGACAAAUACGUCAUUAAUUUUAGACACGAUCUCUACAGAGUCAGAGACAAUUAUCACUCUAGUUUGAUUGUAUUCCUCGAUACCAUAGGAUAAGGCUUUUCAAAUAGCAAAAUGUUCUGUGAAGAAAGCUGAUGCUUCAUGUCCCAAAGUCGAUUGAAAAGCUGACCCGUUGAUAGUAUUUGCACAUCCAGCAUCAGUUGUGGAUCUAGUAUUUUCUGGAACUGUUGUUGGUAUAUUUCAGGUGACAUAUUCUUUGACAUAUUAGCCAUGGAGGAUUUUCAUGAGGGAUUUCAUUGAUUAUCAUAGGCAGAUGUUCUUUUUAUCUAUGACGGGAUAGCAUUGUUUCUCUUACUAUACUGCUAGGAUUUGCCAAUGCCGAAGUGAGGUAAAUUGCGCUAACUUCUUCCUUCUGUAUUUUUAAGGAGCUCUAUUCCCGCUUCAGCACAUAUAGACUAUGUGCGGAGCUUGUGUAAAAAGCUCCAAGAUCUUGUUGCUGUUGACCUUCGUAAGAUGCAUUAUUGAGUCACAAGUUCUCAUCUAAAAGAUAUUAACUAUCAUUAUAAACAUUAACGGAGCUCAACUGACUCAACGUUACCUAAGUCACGAAUCCAGUUUGUCUUAAAACACGUAAUAUCAUUCGUCUCAUUUAUUAAUAAAUUAUUAUUACCUAAUUAAAGAUUUAUUAAAUCGAAUUAGAUUAUUAAAUUGCCAUCACAAUCUAAAAAGCAUUAUUGCUAAGGUGGCAUUUAAAUUUUAUUAAUUUUUAUCAUAUCAAAAAUGAAGCAAUACUAUAAAGUUAUUUAAUUGGUCAAUUAUAAAGGCAUUACAUAACCUAAACUCAUUGACCCAUAUUUGAAUAAGGUGAAAUUGAUAUUAUUGUUGGGCAUUAUGACAAAUUAGUGUAAUUACGUAUUGUCAAAUGAAUAUGAAAAUUAAACCAGACACAUAACAAAUAGUGUGAUUUAUUUAUUUAUGCUAUUUUAUGAAUCAUUUG